GACGAACGCUGGCGGCGUGCUUAACACAUGCAAGUCGAACGGAAAGACCCUGCUUUUGUGGGGUGCUCGAGUGGCGAACGGGUGAGUAACACGUGAGUAACCUGCCCUUGACUUUGGGAUAACUUCAGGAAACUGGGGCUAAUACCGGAUAGGAGCUCCUGCUGCAUGGUGGGGGUUGGAAAGUUUCGGCGGGUGGGGAUGGACUCGCGGCUUAUCAGCUUGUUGGUGGGGUAGUGGCUUACCAAGGCUUUGACGGGUAGCCGGCCUGGGAGGGUGACCGGCGACAUGGCGACUGAGAUACGGACCAGACUCCUACGGGAGGCAGCAGUGGGGAAUAUUGCACAAUGGGCGGAAGCCUGAUGCAGCAACGCCGCGUGCGGGAUGACGGCCUUCGGGUUGUAAACCGCUUUCGCCUGUGACGAAGCGUGAGUGACGGUAAUGGGUAAAGAAGCACCGGCUAACUACGUG
rnacentral:rRNA from 1 species